ACGCGCGGAUGUGUUUGACAUAAA
rnacentral:siRNA from 1 species